rnacentral:lncRNA from 1 species
ACGGAGACUCCGGGAUCGCAGCGCAAGGACACGGCGUUGCGGUGGCUGGAGCUCUUAGCGAUGAGCAGGCGAACGACGGCGCAGAGCACUCUCCGCGAGGCGAGUGAGCACCGAGCUCCGUAGCUGGGGCAGGGCGCCGGCCGCGCAGGCCGCGCUCCGCGCAUGGGGACGGGGUGUCCGCGGGGCAUCGAAGGCCGGUAGUGGUACCUAUAGGCUCCCGGAUUCCAAAGUCCGAUGUGACCACCUUCAUCUCCCUGCCUUUUUUCUUUUUCUUUCUUUCUUUUAUAGCAAAAUCUCAGUAUGAAGCUCGGACUGUAGACAAGGAUGGCUUCGAACUCCUAGAGAUCCUUCUGCCUCUGUCUUCCGAGCCCUGGAAUUAAAGACAGGCGCCACCAAUGCCCAGCUUCUCCUGUCCUUUGCUGGUAAUGUGCCUUUGGGCAGGACCCUUCCCUUUGGGAGUCUCAUUUCUGGACCUACCGUGUGACUGGAAGGCACUUUUGUGCAUUGGGUACCGGUGCUGUGAAGGAAAGCUGCUCUGCAGGUUUCUUGAGGACAGGGGACUUGCGACCUGGAUCACAGCAGGCAGGAGCCAGAUAAGGACUGAGACAUCUGGCAGGCACCUGUGCCUAAGAGGAACUCUGCCCAGAACAGUCCUCAACCACACUCUCCCUGGGCAGAUCUGGACCAAUGGUGGCCUUCUCAAAUCACCACGGUCACCUUGUGUUUCCCAAGCCCUGCAGCUGAUUAAGUUACAUACGCCACACAGCUCAGCUGUAUUUGAGUAAUUCCUAAAGGCUUUCAGUGUGUGCCCUUUUAGGGUAAUUUUCAGGGAGUUGAUGAAUUCACAUAAAACCAGAAAGUAUUUCAAACUCUCCCACAGAUCAGAUUGCAGAGAAUGGCUUGCAAGCCAGCUGUGGGAUUUCACCCAAUGUCUGAUAGUCCCACAUAAACCACACUGGUGAUGCUGAGGACAGGUGCCAGUAUCAGUGUUUAUCAUGUCCCAAAGGUAACCAGCCAAGGGAAGAUAUUAAAAUCAUCCUUGGUUCACAGUUAGGCUGCUACUCCACCAAGGGGCCAUUUUCCCUCCAUGACAAAGAAUAGCAAUGUCACCAGCCUGUCUCCUCAAUGCUUGCCUCCAUCUCCCUGAGAAUGUUAUGUGUACCUCAGUGGGCCAUGUGAAGGGGAAAGACAGUGAUGGCCUAACUCCAAACCUCCACUACUCAGUGGUAUACUACUACAAGCAUGGGGACAGCCCGGACGACUCUAGUACAUGAGUUUGCUGGUGCAGUUUCAACAAUGGGUGCCAGAGGAACACACCUUAACUCACCCCAGCAGACCCUAGCUCACUUUGGUCCACAACAGCUUACUUACCCCAACACACCUCAGCAAUCCCAACCACUAGAUAUAAUAUGCCCAAAUCGCCGCCAGACUCUAGCAUAUCCCACCACACUUAAGCACAGGGUCUAGAUGUCACAGUGCUUAGGAUGAGGAAGGUGGCCUGAAGAAAGGCCUCAGGCUGCUGGACAUUGCCUCUGCCUCCCAUGAAGCUGGUCAGACCAGAGGGGACAUAGUGAGCUGACAGGUAUCCCAAAUGCAUGACAUCUCUGUGCCAAACCAGCUGGCCAGUGCCACCCUCCAUUAUGGCUGUCGCCUGCACCAGUCAGCUAUGUCUGAGACAGUCUUUGAAGACCCUAUCUGUCCAAAGAUGCUGAAUAUUUUACAACAGUAGCCUUAUUUUUCUGUACUUUUGCUAUUAAAAAAAAAACUGCUACAAGCAGACACUGAUCAACAGAAAGAAUUACCAAAUAUGCUUGGACUCUCUGCACUCUGGAGGCUAAGGAAAGAAGACUGUAAAUUCAAAGCCAGCCUAGCUACAGAACCAGACCCAAUCUCACAAAAUAUAAUGAAAACCUUCCAGAUGUGAACAAGCUACACAAGCUCCAGCUGACAAGGACAGAGCUGCACCAGCCACCAGCCCUAUCCUGUCCUGAAAGACUACCCCUCUGAUCUAACUGUUGAGCCAAGAUAAAUCUCCUUUGGUUUUUGUUUUAUUUUUUUGUUUUGUUUUUCAAAAAGACUUAUGUACUUUAUUUGACGACAGUUGUGAUGGCUGUUCUUGGUGGUCAACUUAACUACAUA